CGCUGGCGGCGUGCUUAACACAUGCAAGUCGAACGGAAAGGCCUGCCACCUUGGUGGUGGGUACUCGAGUGGCGAACGGGUGAGUAACACGUGGGUGAUCUGCCCCGCACUGUGGGAUAAGCCUGGGAAACUGGGUCUAAUACCACAUACGACCAUGGCGUAGGGGUCAUGGUGGAAAGCUUUUGCGGUGUGGGAUGAGCCCGCGGCCUAUCAGCUUGUUGGUGGGGUAAUGGCCUACCAAGGCGGCGACGGGUAGCCGGCCUGAGAGGGUGGACGGCCACAUUGGGACUGAGACACGGCCCAGACUCCUACGGGAGGCAGCAGUGGGGAAUAUUGCACAAUGGGCGCAAGCCUGAUGCAGCGACGCCGCGUGGGGGAUGACGGCCUUCGGGUUGUAAACUCCUUUCGCCCGGGACGAAGCCCACCUUGGUGGGUGACGGUACCGUGGAGAAGAAGCACCGGCUAACUAC
rnacentral:rRNA from 1 species